rnacentral:piRNA from 1 species
CACUUUGGCAGAUGCUAGCUCUCCUC